GUUUUUAUAAUUUAAUCAAAAUAGUGAUCUUGUAAAUCAAAUUUGGGUAAUACCCUAAGAACU
rnacentral:tRNA from 1 species